rnacentral:rRNA from 1 species
UACGACUACAUAUCAGGCAUAUCAAUAAGCGGAGGAAAAGAAACUAACAAGGAUUCCCCUAGUAACGGCGAGUGAAGCGGGAAGAGCUCACAUUUGAAAUCUUCAAGGUUCUACCUUGACGAAUUGUAGUUUAAAGAAGUGUUUUCGGUUAGAGGAGUAGUAAAAGUUCUUUGGAAUAGGACAUCAUAGAGGGUGAGAAUCCCGUAUUUGACUAUUCUUUCUAGCUUUGUGAUACACUUUCAAAGAGUCGGAUUGUUUGGGAAUGCAGUCCAAAAUGGGUGGUAAAUUUCAUCUAAAGCUAAAUAUUGGCGAGAGACCGACAGCGAACAAGUACCGUGAGGGAAAGAUGAAAAGAACUUUGAAAAGAGAGUUAAACAGUACGUGAAAUUGUCAAAAGGGAAGCGUUUGACACCAGUGUUGUUUCUACGAAAAUCAAUUUAUGAUGGCUUGAUGCUAAGCUUUAAGACUUUAUCCGCUUGUUGUUUAGUUUUCUUGUCUUUGUGAAUGCACUUUUCGUGGAACAAGUCAACAUCAAUUUCUUUUGCUGUAAAAGGGUAAGAGGAAGGUGGCUUCGGCUUCGGUUGAAGUGUUUAUAGCCUUUUAUCUCUGCAGUCGGAGAGAUUGAGGUCUGCAGCGUAGACUCUUCGGGGUUAGAUACGUCGGUGCUAAGCUAUAGCUUUUCAUAGACAACUUGUUGACUAUGUUUAGUCAUGUGGCUUACCCGCUGGCGCUAUUUUACCUACGCUUAGGAUGUUGACUGAUAUGUAGUCGU